CCCCGAUAAGACAAUGGAUCCCUGGGAUCCGAUGUAGAACACUUUGGGAUAGGUGUGAUUAUCCCUUUACACCAUACAGACGGAAUUUUACAAAAUUUAAAACAUAUAUUAAAUAAUUUAUGCAAAACAUGUAAUAACAAAUUAUUUUUAAACAAUUCUACAGGUAUUAAAUCGAUCCCUGGCGCCUUGCCAUUUUUAGCUUGCGUUAAUACUUUUAACACUUCAUCAGUACUAAUUUCCGAAUCUAAAUCAACAUCCAAAAUAUCAUUUGACAUAUUAUCAUUUACAUUCGUAACAUCAUCACAAUUCAAAAGAUUUUCAUAAGAAGUUUUCCAUUUAUUUAAAAUAAUGUCAGUGUGCGAGCAAAUUGAACCAUCUUCUAGUACAACUUCCAUAGGUUUGGUCUUCUGUCUUUCACUACCGACACCAAUCUUGCCAAUGUUCUUCCAAAACUCCCGGGGGUCCCUAGUUUCAAUAUCCAAAAGUUUAUCUUGACUUCGGUACCAAUAUUGCCUCUUUGUCUGUUGACAAUUUUUAUCAAAAAUUUACGUUUGUUUACAAAAAUAUGACGCAAGUUCUUUUUAACCUGGUUAUGGCUUCUGUUCCAAUUACGUUCGGCUUCGCAUACUUCAUUCCAGAGUGCAGUGAGA
rnacentral:lncRNA from 1 species